AUUGAACGCUGGCGGCAUGCUUUACACAUGCAAGUCGAACGGUAACGCGGGGGCAACCCUGGCGACGAGUGGCGAACGGGUGAGUAAUACAUCGGAACGUACCCAGUUGUGGGGGAUAGCUCGGCGAAAGCCGGAUUAAUACCGCAUACGACCUACGGGUGAAAGCGGGGGCUCGCAAGACCUCGCGCUAUUGGAGCGGCCGAUGGCAGAUUAGCUUGUUGGUGAGGUAAGAGCUACCAAGGCGACGAUCUGUAGCUGGUCUGAGAGGACGACCAGCCACACUGGGACUGAGACACGGCCCAGACUCCUACGGGAGGCAGCAGUGGGGAAUUUUGGACAAUGGGCGAAAGCCUGAUCCAGCAAUGCCGCGUGUGUGAUGAAGGCC
rnacentral:rRNA from 1 species